GACUACUAGGGUAUCUAAGCCUGUUUGCUCCCCACGCUUUCGUGCCUCAGCGUCAGUAUCAUCCCAGCAGAUCGCCUUCGCUUUUGAUAUUCCUAGUGAUAUCUACGGAUUUUACCCCUACACCACUAAUUCCAUCUGCCCCUUCUGAACUCUAGACUCCCAGUUUCAAGCGCAGUUCAAUGGUUAAGCCAUUGGAUUUCACGCCUGACUUAAAAGUCAGCCUACGCACCCUUUACGCCCAGUGAUUCCGAGUAACGCUUGCACCCUCCGUAUUACCGCGGCUGCUGGCACGGAGUUAGCCGGUGCUUAUUCAAGAGGUACCGUCAUAAUCUUCCCUCUUAAAAGGAGUUUACACACCGAAAUGCGUCAUCCUCCACGCGGCGUUGCUGCAUCAGAGUUUCCUCCAUUGUGCAAUAUUCCCCACUGCUGCCUCCCGUAGG
rnacentral:rRNA from 1 species